rfam:Pedobacter africanus strain DSM 12126 genome assembly, contig: Ga0070588_101
UAGGCGUAACCUGAAAAGCCUCAACAGAGUAAGGA